rnacentral:tRNA from 1 species
GGGCUGUAGCUCAGUUCGGGAGAGCGCCUCUUUUGCAAGGAGGAAGUCAGGGGUUCGAAUCCCCUCAGCUCC